rnacentral:lncRNA from 1 species
AUUAUAUAUGUCGGAGACUGUCAAUAGUACGGACACUAAACGUCACGCAAGCGCGCCCUCUGGUGGCGUUUCCGGUGAAACAACAUUUUGGCGCGCUUGGCAGAGUAGUGGUGGUCGGCGUGGCGUCCGCGGAGCUCAGUCUUGGUCGAGUCGUCGUGCUGCGCACAUCUCGAUACUGCCUUUCGUUACGCGAAGUGUACCUAGUGUUAUUGCCUAGUGUUGUAGUACUGUUGUAGAUCCAUAUUGUAAAGUGUGUAAAGUGUCUUUUGAAAUUAAAGUGUAAAGGUUCUUCUAACCUAACAGACAGACAUGUGUUGCUGGGGAGUUUGUUCCGCCACUUCUUCUCCCCAAGCCAAAACACAUAGGAAGUGGCGAAGGGCGGGCGUUUUGGGGGCUGUCUUUUGUUCUGACUAAUUUGAAUAAACGUUUGAGUUUUUAGUUUGUUUGAAUUUUGAGUUUCUUUGAGUUAUCUCUUUGCUUGAUUACCCUAACUGAUGUCGGACGAUAGUGCCAUCCUGAUGUUCGCCUCCGACAUCAGAAGUGGGAUGUAAUCCGAAUGCCCACAUGUGUUAAGAAUUCGCCAUGCGAAGAUAAAAUUCUGCCCAUUGACAAAAAAAAAAAUGUAACGUCGAUAAUUUGAAAUGAAGUUUGUAGUAGAAGAUUUAUUAAGAAUUUCAGCGAAGGUACAAGUAUGGUAACCACGGUUAUGCGACAAAAUUACUGCGGAGCAUCCCAGCUGCCAGGAGCCUGACGUGUCAUCGUGAGGUCGGAGUGUUGGUGCUCGUGUAUCUACGUGGCUUCACGUCCGCGAAAGCCUUGCUGUACUGCGCAUCGUCAUGCGCGUUGAGGUGUUGAGUGGAAACCCGGUGAGACCGAUCCAUUUUUGCUUUAUUUUGAGGUUAUUUGUCUUACGACAUUUAUAAACUUGAGAGACGGUUUCAGUCUCGUUGAUUGCGCUACCACUGCGCUUAUUAAUUGGUGGAAUCGUAGAUAAUCAGAAACCUAGGUUCACAGGUUUGAUCCCAGAGUUGAAAAUUAUUAGUUAUCUGAUCUCAUCAAUAUCCUAAAGUUAGAAUAUUUCAGUUUUUGCGUCAUUUGAUUGAAUUGUGCAUCAGACGAUAGAUUUUUGGUAAAGUGUUACGUUCACCUACUCUGUAAUUUCGUUGCGCUAAGUUGUACCAAUGAUGGAUACCGGGGUGACUUGAAAAAGACCCGUUGGCCUGUGUGAUGGCAUCGGGGUGACCAAGAAGAGACCUGUGUAAAGUCUGCGGUACUGAUUUUAUUGUGUUAAGCUGUAACUAUGAUGGGUAUCGGGGUGACCUGGAAGAGACUCGUUGGCCUGUGUGACGGCAUCGGGGUGACCAGGAAGAGACCCGUAUACAUCUGUGGUACAGUUGGUGUCAUGUCACUGUGGUUGUGGUCCCUAGGAGGCCAGGAUGGGCUGAGAGGUCGGCUAAGGGACAACGGUCAUGUGAAGCCUAGCGAUUUAGUAAUUUACAAGUUGAGUCUGAUUAGCAAUUCGAUCUUUCUUUGAUUACGUGCUUAGCUUUUAAGGUAGGGAUCUAGUUUCUUCAUUUGAAUAGUGAUUGCUAUUCUUUAAAUCUGUAACAUGUGUGUAGGUCUUACUAUCUUACGAAACGAGAAGGUUUGUUGCUGACCCAUAUGUUGUCAAUAUUUGAUGCCUAAGCACUUUUCAUUUCUGACUUAACAGAUAACAUCUAAGGUGAACGGAGCCUGGAGAACAGAACGAGGUCUACUAGGCAAGCGGCGGGCGAGGUGCGCUGCAGUGGCUGUUUGCAGCGUCGUCCUCCCCCAGAUUCGUCGUGGAGGCCGUAUGAGUUGCGGCAGGCCAGAACAUCGCGUCUUAUCGCACAAGAUUAAACGACCACGAGGACGUGGUCUACGCAGGAUGGCCGUGUCGGAGACUGUCAAUAGUACGGACACUAAACGUCACGCAAGCGCGCCCUCUGGUGGCGUUUCCGGUGAAACAACAUUUUGGCGCGCUUGGCAGAGUAGUGGUGGUCGGCGUGGCGUCCGCGGAGCUCAGUCUUGGUCGAGUCGUCGUGCUGCGCACAUCUCGAUACUGCCUUUCGUUACGCGAAGUGUACCUAGUGUUAUUGCCUAGUGUUGUAGUACUGUUGUAGAUCCAUAUUGUAAAGUGUGUAAAGUGUCUUUUGAAAUUAAAGUGUAAAGGUUCUUCUAACCUAACAGACAGACAUGUGUUGCUGGGGAGUUUGUUCCGCCACUUCUUCUCCCCAAGCCAAAACACAUAGGAAGUGGCGAAGGGCGGGCGUUUUGGGGGCUGUCUUUUGUUCUGACUAAUUUGAAUAAACGUUUGAGUUUUUAGUUUGUUUGAA